UUUUUAAUCUGACAGGAGAGAGAGAGGCUGAUCAUGAAGUUGAUUUUCUCAGGGUUAGGCUCAUCCAUUGACUCUAGAGUGUGCUGACCCCUAAGAUUUAGCCAAAUGCAGGAAACUCAACUGCAUAACUGGGGUAGUAGAGGUUACAUUGCACCUUCUC